rnacentral:rRNA from 1 species
CCUACGGGUGGCAGCAGUGAGGAAUAUUGGUCAAUGGGCGUAAGCCUGAACCAGCCAAGUCGCGUGAGGGAUGAAGGCUCUAUGGAUCGUAAACCUCUUUUAUAAGGGCAUAAAGUGUGGGACGUGUCCUGUUUUGUAUGUACCUUAUGAAUAAGGAUCGGCUAACUCCGUGCCAGCAGCCGCGGUAAUACGGAGGAUCCGAGCGUUAUCCGGAUUUAUUGGGUUUAAAGGUUGCGUAGGCGGCCUUGUAAGUCAGCGGUGAAAGUCCGUGGCUCAACCAUAGUAUUGCCGUUGAAACUGGGAGUCUUGAGUAUGUGUGAGGCAGGCGGAAUGCGGGGUGUAGCGGUGAAAUGCGUAGAUAUCACGCAGAACCCCGAUGGCGAAGGCGGACUGCCAAGCAAUGACUGACGCUGAUGCACGAAAGCGUGGGGAUCAAACAGGAUUAGAUACCCGAGUAGUC